GACGAACGCUGGCGGCGUGCUUAACACAUGCAAGUCGAACGGAAAGGCCUGCUUUCCCUUGUGGAUUGCGGGUACUCGAGUGGCGAACGGGUGAGUAACACGUGAGUGAUCUGCCCCCAACUUGGGUAUAAGCCUGGGAAACUGGGUCUAAUUCCCGAUAGGACUGCAGGGUGGUGCCUGUGGUGGAAAACGAUUUUCUAGUGGUUGGGGAUGAGCUCGCGGCCUAUCAGCUUGUUGGUGGGGUAAUGGCCUACCAAGGCGGCGACGGGUAGCCGGCCUGAGAGGGUGGACGGGCACAUUGGGACUGAGAUACGGCCCAGACUCCUACGGGAGGCAGCAGUGGGGAAUAUGGCACAAUGGGCGGAAGCCUGAUGCAGCGACGCCGCGUGGGGGAUGACGGCCUUCGGGUGGUAAACUCCUUUCGACCGAGAGGAAGCCACCUGGUUGGAAGGGUGGUGACGGUAGUGGUAGAAGAAGCACCGGCUAACUACGUG
rnacentral:rRNA from 1 species